UGCAGGUCUGGAUCGAAUGUGAUAUGAAUGACUGGUUCACAUGCGGGGCUUUUGUUUCUGGAACUGGGAGAACAAGUCCAACCACACUGGCCCCCUGAGAGGGCUCAAAGUGCACAAAGAGAUGAGCAGGUGAGGCGGAUAAGAGAAGGAAAAAAGCAGGGGGUGGAGUGUGAGCAGGAAAGUACCAGGCUCUCCCAGGGGAGUCCAGACUGACUUGUAGCUGCUGCUGAGGUCAACUUAGUGGUUUCCUAUGUAAAACAGGUCUCCGGUAAGGUCCAGGCAGCUCCCUCCCAUCCACACCUACCAGCUGCCACCGCAGACUGAGAAACAGGAAGUCAUGUGGCAUGAUAAUCAGUAGAGCGAGCCAACAGUAAGAGAGAGAAAUAGAGUGAGCAUGGAAUCAGGAGCAGAGAAGUGAAGUUUCAGGUGGACAAACAGAUUUGACAGAUUUGUGAUGCUACAGGACACACAAAUUGCCUUGACGCACAAGAAGAAAGAACAUUUCAUGACCCUGCUGUUCAACGUCUUGGCUCCUCUGAAUGGCCCUGGGGUCUGUGGAGAGGAACGAGGGUCGUGGGGGGCUGGAGCCUAUCCCAGCUGACAUUGGGUGAAAGGCGGGGUACACCUUCAUCGCAGGACAGACAACCACUCACAUUUAGAGACACCUGCAUGUCUUUGGACGGCGGGAGGAAGCUAGAGCACCGGGAGAGAACCCACGCAGACACGGGGAGAACAUGUAAACUCUGCACAGAAAGGCUGGGGCAACCGGGGUUUGAACCCAGUGCUAACCACUGCACACCACGCCCUGUUAUAAAACUUUUAUGUUAUCAAUUGUCCUGUAGGACACCCACAUGUUUUGAGAGGGAAGAUGUGUUUGUUUUAUUUUGCCACCAUAUUUCAUGAUAAGAACUCACUCCUGAUGUGUCUUUGUGCCACAGUUCUAAGAGAUCGCUGAAUAGCAUGGACAUCGAUACCUUUUUUUCUUCUCUGAUAUUUAAAUGUGCGGUUGUUAGCCAAAACGCUAAUUUCCAACUUGUUACUCCUAACAAAAAAUUUGAACCGUUGUUGCUGUUGUUGGACAUGUAAAACACAUUUCAUUCUUUGAAGUGGAAGAUUUUACCGGAUGACCGCCAAUCCAGCACAAACAUGAAAUGGUUCAUGAAUUCUGGGAAAAUCAAAGUUCCUUUUUCAGCCAUGCUACCUUUAUGGAUAACAUUGCUGGUUAGUUGGUCCGUCUGCCCACCAUUAUUGCCCGACUUGCAUUGCUGUGAAAUUUUAUAAACACCUAUGUCAUGGUUCCCAAACAAUGAAUCCUAAUGACCUUGAUGAUCCGCUCACUUUUCAUCUACCGCAGUCAUCAUGGUCAUUUUGUGCAGUUCUUUGGUUUAUCCUUUGGUACAUUAAUAAAGGACAUUCCCAUCAUCCUCA